CUGAGGGUGGCUUGUGAGCUGAAGCUUCUCUCCAAACACAAGGACAGAGGCGUCUGUCACAUAACCCAUGAAGAACCAUCACCUGAAAACUGUGCAUCACCUCGUGAGAAUCUCAGUCAGGGAUCCUUCAGUGUGUGUCACAUGGACAAAAAGAAAGGGGGAAACUCCUCCUGCAUGAACACGGCCGCAGGAUUGUCUUAAAGGUGCCGAGUUCCCACAAUCCAUGUGCAGCACACACGGUCCUCUUCCCACCCAGACCAUCCCAGCAGGAAGUCCUGCUGGGCCAGCUCAGCCCCAUGGGUGCACCUGGCUGUGGACUUGCACUAACACCGCACUGCAAGCAGCACCUGGCUCAUGCAGGACGUGAGGAUCCAUCCCAGUGCAGUCGGACACACCUGGGGAACCACGAGCCUUUCACCAGCUUUGAAAAAGAGUCAAGAGCAAGUGGGACCUCCAGAACAUGCAGCUCUAAGUGUUUGCCCUGCAAAGGGAUCUGGCAGUGCUGGUUCCCACCAACUCCUGUUGCUAAGUAGGGGCCUGGUAAGUUGCAGGCAGACAGCCCUGUGGGAGGCGUACAGAGAGGAGCCCCAAUUACUGCUCACGGGAAAAGGCAGCGUGUUAUGUUUGUGAGCAGUGAAGACACAUGGUCCAAAUUCUGAAGAAUGGCUGCUCAGAAGGCUGGUCCUUCACAUGCUUACGAUUUUAGGAGCAAAUCACAAGUUUGUUGCCACAGUCCUAUCCAGCAUAGUCCAAGUAGCAUCAUUCAUCUGGCAAACAGGAUCCUUCCAUCGGUCUGGCUGCAGAGAGAAGCAGCUCCGUCCUCCCCAGCACAGCAGCAGGAGCCCAGGGCAGGGCAGGACGGCGCAGAGCCACGCGCAGGCUGUGCUGAGGGCGGCUGCCUGCUGCAGUCCUUGCUCUCGCAGCAGGAUUGCUUGAUGGAUCACCUGGAAAGACAAACCCACUUAAACUUUCCAAGGAUUCAAACAAAUGCCUUAUGGCCCAUCAGGGGAUCUCCCCUUGACAUGUUCCUUUGGAUCAUGUGUUUAAGUCAUCAUUUUCUAUCCCCGCUUUGCAGAUCUGCAGCUUGCUGCUGGGGCACCAUCCGUCCUCAGACAAACCUGCCAGUGUGCUUCACUGAGAGCCCAUGGGCCCCUUUCCCAAGAGCCUACAAUGAGACCAUCCCUCGCUCCUUGAGAGCAAAGGUGAGGGCCUUAACCUGCCUAGAGAGCUGUUGCUGAUGUCCCGG
rnacentral:lncRNA from 1 species